UCAUAGGGGACUGCCCGAGAUAAUUGGGAGGAAGGCGAGGAUGACGCCAAGUCCGCAUGGCCCUUUGAUGACCUGGGCUGCACACGUGGUACAAUGGCCGGUACAAUGGGUACGAUGCCGAGAGGCGGAGGUUAAUCCCAUCAAAGCCGGUCUCAGUUCGGAUUGAGGGCUGCAACUCGCCCUCAUGAAGCCGGAAUCGCUAGUAAUCGCCAAUCAGCUACGUGGCGAUGAAUACGUUCCUGAGUCUUGUAC
rnacentral:rRNA from 1 species